GGUCUCUGUCCACAGAGCCUCUUUACUGGGCCAGGUCAGCUCACCCCUCCAUCUGGGCUCCUAUGGCACACAUGGGCCCCACCCCACUGAUCUCUGAAAGAGACCACUGAGUUCUAGCCCUCAGCUCAGCUCUGCCAGUUCCCAGGCAUGCUCCGCAGCUCCUCCUCUUCCUGAGACCCUGCCAGUGAUUGUCUGAAUGGGGCCAAGAGCCCCUGCCAUCAUAUCAUCUCCACCUGCCACCAAACCUGCAGUCCAUGACACAGCUGAGCAGUCUCUACCACCACUACAAUACCUCAAGAGGCCAGCUCUGCCCAGGAAAGCUGAAGCCUGCUCUGCUGCCAGUCUCCUGGUGCCACCCCACCUCUCCAGCCACAACCUCAUGUGAUCCAGGGACACAGACCACCCUUUCAGGACAGAAUUUGUCUGUCUCAAACCCACAGAAGCCCCUGUCCUAGGUCUAGACGGCAGACAGAACCACCACGGGA